UCCAAGACCUGCGGCAGAAGGAGCUGAGCCGCAGGGUUUGUCAUCUGCCUGCCUGGAAGAGGAGACCUCCUCCUUCUGCAGAGUCAGGGUCAUGCCAAGGGUCCUCCUGGUCCCCUGGACCUAACAGGCAACAGUGCGAGGGAGCAUCUACAAGAGGAAGCAAGAGCAUCCCUUGUGGCGGGACCUACCUGCAGGAACACUCUGUGAGCAGAUAAGCCUGCACACUUGAGAACCCUCAAAGCAGCAAAGCUUCCUGCCUGGGGCUAGAGGGGAGAUGGAGUCUAGCAAAGGGCGACAGCCAGGCUUACAUCCGGAAACAGCCCCCAGACCAUGCAUCCAUCCAUCCAUCCACAGGAGGGCAAGAGUGGACAUGCAGGAGCAGCGGGUGGACAGCAAGGAACUCCCUGUCUGUGAAAUUUCAUGGGGCUGCAUUGCUUUCUGCGUGAAUGCUGUACUUCAAAGAGUUCCCUUAAAAACCAUCCCAGCCUGGCCACUCACUGUUUGGCAUCAGGUAAGUCACUUCACCUCUGAGCUCAGCUGCCUCGGAUGGGAAAUGGGAGGGUAUCUCUGUGAAUAUGGGGAGGCUUCCAUGACAGCGUAUGUAAGCAGCUGGAAGGUGGAGACAGAAACGUGUCCCCCUGCCCCAACUUGCACGGCUUCUCCGUGGGCCCAGGGGCCCCAGAGACCUGGCUUUGGUUUGUAAAUCUAUGAUCUUGAGCUCCCUUGAGAGAGGAGGUUUGAGGUGUCAACCAGUGCUGGUAAGAGGAAGGCGGCUUGAGAGAAAUCGUUCUGUGCAAAGGCCCCUCACCAAGAGCCUGGAAGCUGACAGCUCAGGCCCAGACCUGCCCCUUUGCACCCGGGCCCUCAGCACUGGGCUUGGCCUUGUGUUGAUACCGGGCAACUCUGGUGACAAGGACCUGAGCUUAUCCUCCCAACUACCUUCUCAGGGUGGGGAAGCAGGCAGGAAUGGAGAUCUUGGGCAAGUCACUUCACCUCUCUGAGCCUCAGUUCCUUCAUCUGUAAAGUGGGCUAAUUGUGAUUCUUCUUUAUAGGGACAUUAUGAAGGUUCAGUGAGUGACUCCCUGUACAGUGUCUAGAACAGUGCCUGCCCGCACAAGAGCUCAAUGAACGGGGAGCGAUCAUUGGAAACAUAAGGAUAAGAAAUGGGGAGUCAUACAGCUGGGAAAAUGCAGAGACAGGACUUGAACCAGAACUUGUGAGUCAGAUCCUAGCCUUUGGACAGGGGAAAGAACCAACAGUUGUGCAAAAUGUCUGGAGCUGAAGGUGCUAUGAGUCUCUUCCCACAGCCUAACAGAUACGCUUGUGCUGAAUUCCCGCUCAUCUAAACCCCACCUGCAGGAGGCCCCACCCCCAUGGUGGCAGAGUCUGCUUGUGCGUGGAUGGCAGUGAGCUCAGAGCACCCCACGGGAGGUAAGUCAGUACAAACAUAAGAUGCACAAAGCAGACUGUCAUGGCAGUACACAUUCUUGCAUACCUGUGGUGAUACGAACCCCUGGGGGGCCACACAGACAGCUCAUAUGAUCAUGGGCCCACUCUUGUACUGAGCACUCACUGUAUGCUACCCAGGCUCUUUACAUCAGUGGUUCUCAAAAUGUGGUCCCUGAAGCAUCCACAUCACCUGGGUACCUGUUAGAAAUGCAAAUUCUCUGGCCCUGCCUUAGACCUGCUGAAUCAGACAUCCUAGGGGUGGGACCAACAGUCUGUAUCCUAACCUGGCCUCCUGGUGAUCUAAGACACACUGAAGUUGUUGAGAAUCUGAUCUAUAUUAUCUCUCAUCUACAUGAGUUCUCUUUUCUUCCUCUCCCGUCUUAGAGGCAAAGACUCAGGCUCAGAGACAUGAUGGGACCUGUCCAGGGUCACACAGUCAGGAAGUAGUUGGGAUUUAAAUCCAGCUCUGGGGGGUUCCAGAGCUCACAGCUCUCACCCCACAGCAUGCCCUAAUGAAAGCAUCUGAUUAUCCCCAUGUAUGCAUCCCCCAAACAGACCCAUGGGGGAACACGUCUACACAAAGGUGUGAUACACACUUCACCCCUCCCCAUGGCCCACUUCUACUCAUGCCUGUCACAGGGCCUUUGCACAUGUUGUUCCUGCUGCCUGAAAUAUACUUCCCACAUGGCUUGCCUCCUCCCUUGAGUGUCAGCUCUAGUGUCACCUCCUCAAAGAAGCCCUCCCAAGUAAAGUAGCCCCCUCAACUCCUGACUCUAUCCCAUCACCCUUGCUGUCUUUCCUUCACAGCACAUACGCCUGUCUGAAAUCAUCUUGCUUAUUGGUUAGUUUGUUACUGCAUCUCCUCCCCCUACAGUGUCAGCUCCAUGAAUGCAGGAACCUAUUCACUGGGGUAACCUCUGGAACAGUCCCUCUCUGGCAUGAAUACUUGUUGACUGAAAAGACAUAAGUGAACAAUCAGUGACACAUGCAGAUGUGGCCCAAAGUGGUCCAGGUCACACUUACCAACAGGAUACAUGUAUCCAGCCCAAUCUAGGUCACAGACACAGGGAGCAGCACGCCUGGACCCAGCUUCACGCAGACUCACUCUGAGCAGAGUCUAGGAGGAUCCUGGGGGAGCAGGGAGCCUGGCGGCUGGUUAUGGGUGUGCCUGGCAUGUGUGUGUGUGUGUGUCUGUGUGUGUCUG